CACGUAGGGGACGAGCGUUGUCCGGAUUCACUGGGCGUAAAGCGCAUGUAGGCGGUUGCACAAGUCCGUUGUUAAAGCCCCUGGCUCAACUGGGGGAGGUCAAUGGAGACUGUGCGACUUGAGGGCAAUAGAGGCACGUGGAACUCCCGGUGUAGCGGUGGAAUGCGUAGAGAUCGGGAAGAACACCAGUGGCGAAGGCGACGUGCUGGGUUGCACCUGACGCUGAGAUGCGAAAGUGUGGGGAGCAAACGGG
rnacentral:rRNA from 1 species